rnacentral:rRNA from 1 species
AUUGAACGCUGGCGGCAGGCCUAACACAUGCAAGUCGAGCGAGCGGCGGACGGGUGAGUAAUGUAUGAGGAUCUGCCCGCUAGAGGGGGAUAACUACUGGAAACGGUGGCUAAUACCGCAUACUAUCGGCUGAACCCAUAAGGGAUUAGCUAGUAGGUGGGGUAAAGGCUCACCUAGACGAAGAGCUCUAGCUGGUCGGAGAGGAUGAUCAGCCACAAUGGGACGGAGACAAGGCCCAGACUCCUACGGGAGGCAGCAGUGGGGAAGAUUGCACAAUGGGAGCAAGCCUGAUGCAGCCAUGCCGCGUGUAUGAAGAAGGCCUUAGGGUUGUAAAGUACUUUCAGCGGGGAGGCGUUACCCGCAGAAGAAGCACCGGAUAACUCCGGGCCAGAAGCCGCGGUAAUAU